rnacentral:lncRNA from 1 species
AUACUCACAAGAGGAAGAAAUCAUAUAUUGGAUAAAAUUGUUGGAUUACAGUAGUGGAUAUUACAGGAGGAAGAGCAUCCAAAUGUGAUGCAAAUCUAAAUAUUUUCUCGACAAAGAAACUUAAACUAAAAGCAUCCAUAAACAUCCCUGAUACUUAACUAAAACAUAACCGAGGAACAUCAUCGAAUAGGAACAACAUCCCUACAACUUAACUAAAACUGAAAGCAUCCAUCAUCAUCAUCAUGAACUGGAACAUCAUCAUCAUCAUCAUCAUCAUCAUCAUCAUCAUCACAUCGCAGUGUACUUGCCAUGCACCCAUAUAAUCAUCCAUGUAUAUUUUGACUCUACAAAGAAAAUGACAAAAUGAACCGUUAACACACAGUGCAUUAAGAAGUAAGAACCACUUUGCGCACACUUACUGCUCAUCAGCACAUUUUUUUGGUCUGGACAACAGUCUAAUAGCAAAUAAGAAGAAACAAAUAAACAAGAUAGCACUACAAUUUGAACACAAAUUCGUAUGUGAUUAUGAGAAGAUAGCAGCAUGAGUGUUAGUUGUCCUUGAUGACUAAUCCAGACGCCACAAUAUACGACACAACCUGCAAAAAACAUGGCUAAAUAAAAUUAUAUAGACAUUGGCCUAAGUGAUGUGCAUAGGGCAAUGUGAUUGACAGUACCACUUCUCUUUUCUUCUCCAGUUAGUUAGCAAACUAGACCAAAACGGCUUCUCAUCUGAAACUGAACCAAAACAUCUAUUUCUAGUUGGUUUCGGUCAUCCAACAGGAAAUAGGGAAACCUAUAAGUGCUCACCACGCUUUGAAACCAACCUACAACCCCAAAUCCACUGAAAUUAAUUUACAUGGUCAUCACCAGCCUAGAGAGACAUCGCUAAUUCUUUAGAUCUACAGUAAAACUGUUUUCUGUGAACCAAUAGAUCUAUUUAUUUCUAAAUAAAUCCACUGAAACCUACAGCCCCAAAUCUUAUAAAUGUGCGUCGACAGUAGCACAGAACCUAGCACAGCUCAAUGGCCAUGGACACAACGAGCAGUAGCACGGUAAGGAGAGGGAGAGAGUUUACCUUCAAUGGCAUCGUCCAUGACUUGCUACACGAACUUGACUUGCUCCAUGGCGUCCCCCUUCAUCGAGUUGGAAUACCUAGUUGAUUUUAAUUAUACUAAGAUUCUUUCAUGUGAAACUAAAUAGUGGAAUUAAUACAUGCAACACACAAUAUAGGCCUAACACACUAACUUGUAUUGAAAUUGCUGACAGAGUAACUAAUUUGUAGUGGAAUGGCCAAAAGAGUACCUUAUAUAGGGACAACCUGUAGGUGAUUAUUUCCUUGUAGUGUAUUUCAUGAGUACAGGAUGAUAGUAUUAAAAAAAAUAGUCCAUCAAGGUUAUCCUUGUAUCUAGUUUGUUCUUUCCCUUUCCAUAAAGAAUUUGCAGAACUAAACCAUUAGUUCUUUCCAGAUUUUAUACAUGUAAUAGGCAGAAUAGAAGUUGUUCCUGACUUUUAGUGGAGAAUAGUAUCCGAAGAAAUACAUCUAUAGAAGCACUGUGUCCUGAACUCAUGUUAACCACAAUAACAAUAUCCUUUUUAGUUGAAAAGGUAAACUUCUAAUAUUUAAAUAUUAUUCAUGAUUUUUAAAGGAUAUAGCGAGAUACCAUGUUGACAAAAAGAUAAUACAACUGUGAUUUAUUUUAACUAGAAGUGCAUAUGAAUACAUAACAGAAUUUAUAUUGGAGACUGUACUGAGGUAACACCACAUCAGCUCGGAGCUGUAACAGAAGUACCUAUAUUAUUUUCGGAAAGCAAGAGAAAGCAUCUAACUUACCGCCAAAUAGUGGUUCAAAUAUUCAUCACUUGGUAAUAAUUAAAAACACCUUGCUGAUGUUGUAGUCGUACAUAAUAAUCAUAUGUGUGACUAAGAAAACUUGAAGAUCAAUUUUUAUUUCGGAAGGGAAACAGGAGCAGAAUCUUCAAAAUAUAAAUCAAUAACUAACCAUUAAACAGCAAAAGAAAUAAUUCUGCUCAGUUUCAAAGCCAACGUUGCAAUACAUAAGGAACCAUAUACAUAUCGUGGCUGUAGCAUGUGCACAGCAAGCCAUCGUAUACUAAGUUAAGAUGUACAACAGAAAUAGUAAAUUUAUGCUUCGUCUAUUCAAAUUACUACAUGGGAGAACAUUAUAAUAUGAAGAAAUUCCACAAAGCAGCACAAUUUUUCAGUGAAAAAUAAAUAAAUCUAAUGGUUAAAUUGAUAAGAGGAUUUUAGACAUACGUUUAUUUUUCUUCAAUGGGGACAUGAGCACUUACCUAUAACGGGGCCAAACCUGAAGACAGGAACUGAGUCGCGUCCAUGACUGGACAAUGGAGGACUUGGUUACUUCCAUCAUGUCACCCAUGUCGUGGGCAGCACCUAUGGUUAGGAUUGGUUCACCUGGGAUUGGUUUUCCCUGUAGAGAGAAGGGUUAUACAGCCAGUUGGUUGCACGUCUACAGGAGAAGAAAAGAGCAGAGGUUAGGGCAUCUACAACGCUCGCCGCUUGGCCAGGUGCUUACAGAAGAAAGUGAAAAUAAUAUUAAAUUGAAAAACAUCUAAGCGCCCUGCCUUCCAACGCUGUACACUAACUGCUAACGCUAAUCAAACACUAAAUUAAACUGCACAUGCGGCUGAUGCGGGGAAGAAAGGAGGGAAGCGCCCGCUGCUUAUCUUUGCGCCGACGAAGCGUCCGACGCCAGGAUUUGACGGCCUCAACCGCAAAUCGGUCAGGAAUUCAAGUGGGAAAAAAUCCUAGCGCCUCCCCUAGCGCCCCGCGUUGGAGAUGAGAAAGAGGGAGAUAAAUGAUGAAACCAGGGGAGGGGGUGCACUCACCGGACUAGAGGAGGACGACCUGGCCACCGGCGCCGGAGCCGACGCCCGAACCCUAGCUAUGGGGGAGGGUCGCGGGUAGGCUUUGGUGGCCGCGAGGGCCGGAUCUAGCCGGAUGGGAGGGCGCCGCAAUGCGAGGGGACCUCGGGCUGUGCUUCGCGGUGUGAAGAGAGAGAUGGGUCGCGAGAGUGAUGGGUGGGUAGGGAUGAUGUGGAUCCGGCAGCCUCCAGAGCUGCGAGGUAGGGGGAGG